AGGCCGUAAAGAAUUGGCCUAGACCUACGACGCCCACGGAGGUACGUAGUUUUAUGGGAUUGGCAGGCUAUUACAGAAGAUUUGUGGAAAAGUUUGCUUCGAUUUCAGCGCCUUUAACGAGGCUAACUCAGAAAGGAGCUAAGUUCCAGUGGACAAGUGCUUGUGAACGAAGUUUCCAGUUGCUGAAAGAGAAGUUGACUACAGCUCCAGUCCUGACUCUUCCAAAGGGACUAGAUGGGUAUGUUAUUUAUUGUGAUGCUUCUGGUGUGGGGUUAGGCUGUGUAUUGAUGCAGCACGGCAGAGUUAUAGCCUACGCUUCCCGGCAGCUCAAAAAGCAUGAAAAGAAUUAUCCUACUCACGAUCUGGAGCUAGCAGCGGUAAUCCACGCCUUGAAGAUAUGGAGGCACUAUCUAUAUGGUGUCCAUGUUGAUAUUUAUACAGAUCAUAAGAGCCUCCAAUAUAUUUUUAAGCAGAAGGAGCUGAAUUUGCGGCAGAGGAGGUGGCUGGAGCUGCUGAAAGACUAUGAUGUCGAUAUUCUGUAUCAUCCGGGUAAAGCCAAUGUUGUUGCAGAUGCACUCAUCCGCAAGUCUAUGGGCAGCUUGGAAGAUUUGCAACCAGACAGGAAAGAGAUAGUACGUGAUAUUCACCAGUUGGCUAACCUUGGGGUUUGUCUGGCCGAUUCUGGAGGUACGCGGAUUUCUGUCCGAGGGGUUUCUGAAUCAUCUAUUAGGGAAGAUAUUAAGCGGCACCAAUAUGAAGAUCCUGUUUUAGCACAGUACAGAGACACAACCCAUGAAAAGGAGAGGACUCCGUUCGAGUUUACACCGGACGGAACAUUAUUGUACAGAAGCAGGUUGUGUGUACCUGAUAUAGCAGGGCUACGGUAGCAGGUUAUGAGCGAGGCACACUAUGCUCGCUAUUCUAUUCAUCCUGGAUCGACGAAAAUGUAUCAUGACCUCAGAUGCCUAUACUGGUGGGAUGGCAUGAAACGGGAUAUCGCAUAGUUCGUUGCCUAGUGUCCGAAUUGCCAACAGGUCCAGAUUGAACAUCAGAAGCCGGGUGGACUAUUGCAGGAAAUGGAAAUUCUGACAUGGAAGUGUGAGAUAAUUAAUAUGGAUUUCAUUACGGGUUUGCCUCGCACUCCACGGAAGUAUGACUCCAUAUGGGUUAUUGUUGAUAGGCUGACAAAAUCAGCCCAUUUUCUCCCCGUCAGAACUACUUAUUCAGCUGAGGAUUAUGACAGGCUUUAUAUUAAGGAAAUAGUGAGACUUCACGGAGUUCCUAUAUCUAUUAUCACUGACAGAGGUGCCCAGUUCACGGCUAACUUCUGGAGAUCUUUCCAGGAAGGAUUAGGGACUCAGGUGAGUCUAAGAACAACAUUCCAUCCUUAGAGUGACGGACAGGCCGAGCGCACUAUACAGACGCUAGAAGAUAUGUUGCGGGCCUGUGUUAUUGAUUUCAGAGGUAGCUGGGAUGAUCAUCUGCCGUUGAUAGAGUUUGCUUAUAAUAACAGCUACCAUUCUAGUAUCCAGAUGGCACCAUACGAGGCUCUGUAUGGCAGGAAAUGCAGGUCACCGAUCGGCUGGUUUGAUGUUGGCGAAACAGAACUAAUAGGCCCAGAUAUGAUCCAACAGGCCGUUGAUAAGUUGAAACUCAUCCGAGAGCGACUAUUAGCGGCCCAGAGUCGACAGAAAUCAUAUGUUGAUAAACGGCGUCGACCUUUGGAGUUUCAGGUUAGUGAUUGGGUAUUCUUGAAGGAAUCGCCUAUGAAAGGCGUGAUGCGAUUUGGCAAAAAGGGUAAGCUUAGUCCGCGAUAUAUUGGGCCUUAUCAGAUUAUUCGAAAAAUUGGGAAUGUCGCCUAUGAGCUAGAUCUACCAUCUGAUUUGGAAAAGGUACAUCCGGUAUUUCAUGUAUCCAUGCUCCGUAAAUGUGUCGGUGAUCCUUCCAGAAUAUUUCCAGCAGAUGAUAUUCAGGUGACGGAGGAACUAUCGUACGAAGAGCAGCCUGUAGCCAUUCUGGACCGCCAGGUAAGAAUAUUACGGAAUAAAGACGUAGCUUCCGUUAAGGUGCUGUGGCGGAAUAAUAACAGGGAGGAGAUGACCUGGGAAGCUGAAGAAGAAAUGAAGAAGAAGUAUCCUCACUUGUUCCCUAUGCCCACAGCUAUUUUGGAAGAUAAAGAGCUUGGUUCAUCAAUAUAACAACUUGUUCAAGUGAAGACGAUAGGAGAAAAAGAUUUUUGACGAAACGGGAAUUGAAUUUGGACUAGCGUAAAGGGCGAAAAAGGUACAGACGACAGAUUUGCUGAUCUGCCUGCCUAGGACUAUAUUCUGCUAUCUUGAAGUGCUCUAUUGUUCGGAGCCUACGUUUUGACGCUCGAGAGGGGUCAACAAAUACCUCAAGAUGAAGUCUUCAAGAUUACUCACACGAGGAAGGCGAAGAACGCUGAUGGUACGGACCAAUGGAUUGAGCCUAGGGCUCAACAAACCUAUACCGAGUUUCAACAACACAGGUUGGAAUAUUGUGCCAGUCUGCUAGCCGGGACGUCGAUGACCAACGAGAUAAUUGCUCAGAAGUGGAUGGAGAAGGUAGCUCCCCCGACAAGGUAUGAGACAGUUUAUGGGAUGCCUAAUCGAGCAUGUCGUCAAUUUCCGUCGUUCCUUCAAGGCGUAGGUACUACUUCUGAAGGGGCAGUGGAUCCUAAGGAGUACCAAGAAAUGAAGCUGAAAGUUAGUCAACUAACAAGUACACUUAGUUCCACGGAGGCAAGGAUGUUGCAUAUGCAGGCCCAAAUUGACAGCUUACUCAACUCGGGGCCCUCUCAUAUUCCCCCGUGUCCCGGGGAUGCUCGUAGGUCACAGCCCAGUAGACGACGUAGGUCACAAGACAACGUAGUUCAUGCUCUUGUUGAUGAGGAUAGUGGGGAGGAAUCGGAUCAUGUCUCUAACACCCAACGUUGACUUUUUUGAUUCGUAUACUUUUGGAUUGUAAUAUUGCUAUGUUUUCUUGGAUAUGUAUAUUUUUGUUUAUGAUAGUUUUAAUUCGAAUUAGAUAUACUUUUGAAGGUGAAUUUGAUUGUAGGAAGUAGUUUAUGGAUGCUUUAACUUUACGAUGUUUAAGUGUUUGAAUGUAGAAAGUAGUUUAUGGUUGUUUAA